CCCUAUCCCAAAAAGGGAAGCCCGUGUCUCUGAGAAGGUUACGUUCUCAUCGAGUUCGCAUUCUUUCAUCCCCAAUUUCAAAAAAGAAGUCCUUUUUUUUUUUCUUCUUUUCGAAAUAAGGAAAAGAUCUUCGAACCCAAUAACCUCCUUUUUAAAAUUUGUGUACAAUGACGUCGAAUAAUCUCAAACCCUAGCACUGCUUCGUGCUCAGGGUAGCUUUUGUUCAAGUGUGCAACUUCAUUGCUGGGGAACCUUAUCUUUGUCCAAAUUUUGAGGCAGUAACUACCUGUGGUUGCUGGUUGUGUUUGCAAACAUAAUUGGUACUGGCAUUUUGGCUGCCGCUUGUGGAUUUGUCUGAAAAAUGGAUCUUGAAGGCAAGAGAUUUGGGAUGGGACAUAAAGAACUUGGAGGUGGACGAGAUCUCAUAAACCAGUAUAAGCUCUGGCCAUACUAUGAAUUCUUCUGCAAGAGGUCACUUCCAUCAUCAAUUUCGGACACGCACUAUCUUCACAAUGUGGUCGGUGACAAAAAAAUUAGGAAGGGAGAAGGAAUGGGACUGCAUCAGUUCUGUAAGAACACCAACACAAGUGAAAGAAAAGCUUCCUUACAUCCUUUUGAGUUGGAUGUGCUAAAUGAAGCUUUCCACAUGAGGGAAAUGGGUCCCAUGCACCUUUCUACCUCGCAAAAGGGGCUAAGGACCGCAAAGCCAAAGUCGGAGAAACAAUCAAAAGGCAACAAGAUGGAGAAAAUUGAGGACAAAACUGUUGAUAGGAAGGAUGAAAAACAUCGUAAGCAUAAAGUACAUGAGGUAAAGGAUGGAAGUUGUAUAGAAAACAAUGUAAUUAGGCGCCAUGAUUCUCAUUCCUUGCAAUUAAAGAAUCACCAAGACAAGAAAAGGAGGGCUGAGACAAGCAAUGAUCCUUCUGUUUGCAAGAGACCACCAAAUACAAGAAAGUGAGAAGCUGGAUUACAGGCUCAAGUUACUUGCUUCAGUAAUUCAAAACCCGAUGUCCAGGCUUGUAAUCUUAAGAGAGGCGAGAGGGGAGGAAGGGACCAACGAAAUUAAUACCAUUCUUUAAUUUUUACCAGUGGUUAAUCUCUAAGGGUCUGAAAUUAUAUUCUUGCCAAUAUGACUCCUGCAAAUGUAAUAUACCUGAAAAAGGUGUUUCUUCCUCUAAGUAUUCUAUAAAAUUUGUUUGUUUGAUAUUUAAAAUCAGUUU